rnacentral:rRNA from 1 species
GGCUCUUUGAAACUAAUGGAUGGAGAGUCGGACCUGCCCAGUGAAGGUUUUUAACGGCCGCGGUACUCUGACCGUGCAAAGGUAGCAUAAUCAUUUGCCUUAUAAUUGAAGGCUUGUAUGAAUGGUUUGACAAGAAUAUAGCUGUCUCUAUGUAAUUUUAUAGAAUUUUAUUUUGAAGUGAAGAAGCUUGAAUAAUAUUAAUAGACAAGAAGACCCUAUCGAGCUUGAAAAGAAAUUAUAGGAGUAUAAAAAUAAGUUUAAAAAAUUGUCUAUCAUAAAUUUUAGUUGGGGCGACUUAGGAACAUAUAAAACUUCCUAAAUUUAUAAAUAAGCAAAAUGAUCCAAAAUUUUUUGAUUAAUGAAAUUAGUUACCGUAGGGAUAACAGCAUAAUCUCCUUUAAGAGUUCUUAUCGAAAAGGGGGUUUGUGACCUCGAUGUUGGACCAGAAUGUCCUAAAGAUGUAGUAGUCUUUAAGGGUUGGUCUGUUCGACCAUUAAAAUUCUACG